ACACCACUGUAUCUGGUCUUCUCUGUACAAAGUGUAACUUCUGACCAUGAGCUCCAUUUCCCUUUCAUUUGGAAAAUUGUAUUUUUAUGAGAAUUCUUGUUUUUCAGAUGUGUCGAGGUGAUGUUGUUUAUAAUCCUCGGUUGUUUUCUGCUUGUGUGGGAUGUAUAAUGAUGUCUCCUUUUUUUUCUUUCAGUUCUUUUUUCGAGACAGGAUUUCACUGUCUCCCUGCCUGGCCUGGAACUGGCUCUGUAGACCAGACUGGCCUUGACUUCACAGAGAUCUGCCUGCCUCUGCCUCCCAAGUGAUGGGAUUAAAGAUGUGCACUACUGGCUGGAGAGAUGGCUUAGCCACUAAGGGCACUGUGUGCUCUUCUGGAGUUCCUGAGUUCAGUUCCCACCACAACAUGGUGGCUCACAACCAUCUGAUGUCCUCUACUGAGGUGCAGAUAGGACCCUCAUCCAUAAGAUAGAUAAAUAAAUCU
rnacentral:lncRNA from 1 species